UACGUAGGUGACCAGCGUUGUCCGGAUUUACUGGGCGUAAAGAGCGCGCAGGCGGUCGUUCAAGUCGAGUGUGAAAGCCCCCGGCUCAACUGGGGAGGGUCACUCGAUACUGAUCGACUUGAAGGCAGGAGAGGGAAGCGGAAUUCCCGGUGUAGUGGUGAAAUGCGUAGAUAUCAGGAGGAACACCGGUGGCGAAGGCGGGUCUCUGGGCCGAUACUGACGCUGAGGAGCGAAAGCGUGGGGAGCGAACAGG
rnacentral:rRNA from 1 species